UACGAAGGGGGCUAGCGUUGUUCGGAAUUACUGGGCGUAAGGCGCACGUAGGCGGAUAUUUAAGUCAGGGGUGAAAUCCCGGGGCUCAACCCCGGAACUGCCUUUGAUACUGGGUAUCUCGAGUCCGAGAGAGGUGAGUGGAAUUCCGAGUGUAGAGGUGAAAUUCGUAGAUAUUCGGAGGAACACCAGUGGCGAAGGCGGCUCACUGGCUCGGUACUGACGCUGAGGUGCGAAAGCGUGGGGAGCAAACAGG
rnacentral:rRNA from 1 species